GCCGAGAUAGUCAAGCCGGUCAAGACGCGUGUCUGAAAAACACGUUAUGCGUGUUCGACUCACGCUCUCGGCA
rnacentral:tRNA from 1 species